rnacentral:rRNA from 1 species
AUACGGAGGGUGCAAGCGUUACUCGGAAUCACUGGGCGUAAAGCGCGCGCAGGCGGUCUUUUAAGUGGGAUGUGAGAGCCUACGGCUCAACCGUAGAACUGCAUCCAAAACUAUUAGACUAGAGUAUGGGAGAGGAAGAUGGAAUUAGUUGUGUAGGGGUAAAAUCCGUAGAGAUAACUAGGAAUACCAAAAGCGAAGGCAAUCUUCUGGAACACUACUGACGCUGAGGCGCGAAAGCGUGGGGAGCAAACAGGAUUAGAAACCCUAGUAGUCC